GACGAACGCUGGCGGCGUGCUUAACACAUGCAAGUCGAACGGAAAGGCCCUGCUUUUGUGGGGUGCUCGAUUGGCGAACGGGUGAGUAACACGUGAGUAACCUGCCCUUGACUUUGUGAUAACUUCAGGAAACUGGGGCUAAUACCGGAUAGGAGCUCCUGCUGCAUGGUGGGGGUUGGAAAGUUUCGGCGGUUGGGGAUGGACUCGCGGCUUAUCAGCUUGUUGGUGGGGUAGUGGCUUACCAAGGCUUUGACGGGUAGCCGGCAUGAGAGGGUGACCGGCCACAUUGGGACUGCGAUACGGACCAGACUCCUACGGGAGGCAGCAGUGGGGAAUAUUGCACAAUGGGCGGAAGCCUGAUGCAGCAACGCCGCGUGCGGGAUGCCGGCCUUCGGGUUGUAAACCGCUUUCGCCUGUGACGAAGCGUGAGUGACGGUAAUGGGUAAAGAAGCAACGGCUAACUACGUG
rnacentral:rRNA from 1 species